AUUGAACGCUGGCGGCAGGCCUAACACAUGCAAGUCGAACGGCAGCACAGAAGAGCUUGCUCUUCGGGUGGCGAGUGGCGGGCGGGUGAGUAAUGUCUGGGAAACUGCCCGAUGGAGGGGGAUAACUACUGGAAACGGUAGCUAAUACCGCAUAACGUCGCAAGACCAAAGUGGGGGACCUUCGGGCCUCACACCAUCGGAUGUGCCCAGAUGGGAUUAGCUAGUAGGUGGGGUAAUGGCUCACCUAGGCGCCGAUCCCUAGCUGGUCUGAGAGGAUGACCAGCCACACUGGAACGGAGACACGGUCCAGACUCCGACGGGAGGCAGCAGUGGGGAAUAUUGCACAAUGGGCGCAAGCCUGAUGCAGCCAUGCCGCGUGUAUGAAGAAGGCCUUCGGGUUGUAAAGUACUUUCAGCGGGGAGGAAGGCGGUGAGGUUAAUAACCUUGCCGAUUGACGUUACCCGCAGAAGAAGCACCGGCUAACUCCGUGCCAGCCGCCGCCGUAA
rnacentral:rRNA from 1 species